GCACAUACUGUUUGCAUUGCUUUUCUAUUGUCAAUGUUGUUUGAGAGUUUUUGGAAACAACAAUGACGUCCACGUUUGUAAUUCCUGUGUCUGUAUAGGAAGUGCAGGGUGUGAUGGCCCAGAUCUCUGGGUUGGAUGGACUGUGCUCACUCAGUGGACCUGAAUGAUAAACUGAGUCGCCUAAGGGAGCAGUGUGCGGCGAUGGUCCUGAAGAAUAAAACAGAGGCUGAGAGAUCGUUUCAGAGCAAGGUGGACAGUAUGAAGACCCAAGUGACCAUCUGUUCCAAUGGGUCCGAGGUCAGGUAGACAGAGAUAGAUGACCUAAUGAGAAUUGUCCAGAACCUAACUCUGGAGUUGCAGCUACUGGAGACCCAGAAUCUGUCAAUGGAGAGGGACGAGAUGGAAGUGAACGAGAAAUACAGUGUUCACCUCAAUCGGCUUCAGCAGCACUUAGACAGCCUGGAGGUGGAGGAGCUGCUGCAGCUAUGUACAGCCACAGAGCAGCAGGCGGUCCCAGUACCAGAUGCUACUGGACAUCAAUAUCAGGCUGGAGCGGGUGAUUUCUGAGUACAGGAGGCUUCUGGAUGGAAGGGGAGCCAGCAGGAAAUCAAGCGCUAGUGUCACGUCUCACUGUGCAAUGAGCAAUGGAACUACCUUCCAACACAUCUUCAUGCCAAUUCAGAGUUCCUCCAUUAGCGUACCAAGAGCAAGUGUGCCAAGUAUUAGUGAGACCUCAAGAGAGACCUCAAGCAGUUUGGAAAAUGGAGGACAAGUGGUAGGUGCAGCCAUUGGGGGCACAGGUUACCCGUGUGCAGAGAGUAUCUCUGUACAACGCCUUUGAUAAAAGAGAAGAGUACAGUGUACACAAACUACUAAUCAGGUUAGCACUGUGAAAGAAGACUAAAGCAAGAGUUUAGAAAGUGGGCACCAAGUUGAAUAUUCAGAGAGUUGCGCCAACACCAGCUCUGCACAACAUGGAGCUAGCGCUAACACCAGCUCUGCACAACAUGGAGCUAGCGCUAACACCAGCUCUGCACAACAUGGAGCUAGCACUAACACCAGCUCUGCACAACAUGGAGCUCACGUUGUGAGCAGCGUUGAGGGUAAAACCACCACUGUCAGUAGAGUCAGACCACUUGAUAAAAUCAGUGUGAUUAUUUCAACAGCUCAGAUUAGCGAAGAUGCAUCUCAGAUGAAAGACACAGAAGUUGUUCAGAUCACUAGUAGCGAUGUUGAUGUUACCAAUGUUAACUGUGGAGGACCGACUGUUAGCAAGGUGAAUUAAGAAGAGAUAAGAAUUGCCAAUGACACAGUACAAGUAGCAGUGAGGAGGCUGAGGUGGUAGUUACUAAUAGCAUAGUAAGCGAGGCUAAGGAAACUGUGAUCCAGGUGAAGAAAUUGGAAGGUCCAGUUCCAAUCAGCAGUGCAAAACAUGGGGGUCUGAUCACCAAUGAUCACUUGCAGCGCUGCAAGUGACAAUACGAUCAGCAGUGCCACAGGUGUAGCUGUAAAAGUGCCAGCUAGCACAGUGGAGAGUGCAGCGGAGAUCACCAGUGAUGUCAGAAGUGGAAGCAUGAUAAAUACUGGAGGUAUGACUAGUGUAGGCAGUGGUGGUUUGAUCAGCAGGACAGGAAGUGGGCACAUGAUAACUAGUGCAGGAAGUGGACACAUGAUAACCAGUGUAGAAAGUGGACAUACGAUAACUAGUGCAGGAAGUGGACAUACGAUAACUAGUGCAGGAAGUGGACACAUGAUAACUAGUGCAGGAAGUGGACACAUGAUAACUAGUGCAGGAAGUGGAGGUAGACCAAGUAGCACAGGAAGUGGAGAAUGGAUGGUUUAUGGUAGAAGUACAGGAAGACUCAGUGGUCCAGGUAGCGGAAGCAGACUCUGGUCUAGGUAGCGGAGUCAGACUCAGUGGUCCAGGUAGUGGAGUCAGACUCAGUGGUCCAGGUAGUGGAGUCAGACUCAGUGGUCCAGGUAGUGGAGUCAGACUCAGUGGUCCAGGUAGUGGAGUCAGACUCAGUGGUCCAGGUAGUGGAGUCAGACUCAGUGGUCCAGGUAGUGGAGUCAGACUCAGUGGUCCAGGUAGUGGAGUCAGACUCAGUGGUCCAGGUAGUGGAGUCAGACUCAGUGGUCCAGAUAGUGGAGGCAGACUCAGUGGUCCAUAUAGUGGAGGCAAACUCAGUGGUCCAGAUAGUGGAGGUAGACUCAGUGGUCCAGGUAACGGAGGUAGACUCAGUGUUCCAGGUAACAGAGGCAGACUCAGUAGUGCAGGUAGCGGAGGCAGACUCAGUAGUGCAGGUAGCGGAGGCAGACUCAGUAGUGCAGGUAGCGGAGGCAGACUCAGUAGUGCAGGUAGCGGAGACAGACUCAGUGGUCCAGGUAGCAGAGACAGACUCAGUGGUCCAGGUAUUGGAGACAGACUCAGUGGUCCAGGUAUUGGAGACAGACUCAGUAGUCUGGGUAGAGGAGACAGACUCAGUGGUCCAGGUAGUGGAGUCAGACUCAGUGGUCCAGGUAUUGGAGACAGACUCAGUGGUCCAGAUAAGUGGUAACAGCGGUGGAGAUCGAAUUAAAUGUAAUAGUAUCGGCAAUGGAGUCUGGACCCAUGUCAAUUCCGAAAACGUCUCUCAGUUUAACAGAAAAGCGAGCAAUGAGAGGACUGGUAGACUUAGCAGUGCAGGAAGUGGAGAAUGGAAGGUUUAUAGUGGAAAUAAUGGACAGAUCAGGAAGUGGGGGAAGAAUCAGCAGUGCUGGAAGUGGACACUAUCAGUAGUGCUGGAAAUGGAGGUCAACUAAGUAGUAGAAGCACAGGAAGUGGUGGUAGACUAAGUAGUGCAGGUAGUGGACAUAUGAUCUGCAGUGCUGCAGGAAGUAGAGGUAGACUGAGUAGCAGUAGCACAGGAAGUGGAGGUAGUGGACAUAUGAUCAGUAGUGCAGGUACUAGUGGACAGAGAAUUAGUAGUAACAGAGGGUGGUGUCAGGGUCAGCAGUGGGGGUAGUCGAGUGAUUACCAGCAGUGGUGGUCCAGCCAGCAGCCCCAGCAGAGUGACCAUCAGGAACACAGGAAGCGGAGGAAGUGGAGGCAGAGAGCAGAUCGGCGUCUGUAAAAUGGCCGCCCUCUCCAUAUCAGCUGCCGUGAAAGAAGGAGGUCUGUCGGGAAUCCUACACAAAACAGGUGUCAGGUGAGAACCGCAUUCCAUCAACUGAGCAUUAAUACCUUUAAAUGACCAGUAUCACAAUGCACCGUCAUGCUAGAAAACAUGUUUUCACUGGAUCUCAGCCUUUCAUCAUUGCUGUGAGUAAGAAAUGCACAGAGGUUUCUGUUUGAACAGUAAUCUAUAAAGUUCUGAAAUAUACUCUGAAAUCGUUAUAGGGAUGCCAUUUUAUCUUAUUGGAUUCAGUUUCCUUGUAAAGCGCUUACACUUACAUUUAUCCAGAAGAUGGCAGUAUAUGCAUUUAGGUGAUCAGUUGUGGAGCGGGACAGCUAGUCUUCUCAUUUAAUACAUUUACGCAAGUUAGUAUAACUUUUAGAUUUUAUUAGUAGUUUGUAAUCAAUGUAUCAAAGCUUAGAUAAAGCUUCUGAUGACUUAUUACCUGAUAUUGUUUUUAAUUAUGAAAUAUUUUUGCUUCAAUUACUUCACACUUGUUCUGAAAUAUUAUUCUCAUCUUAUUUCAUUUUAU